AACGAACGCUGGCGGCAGGCUUAACACAUGCAAGUCGAGCGCAUCCUUCGGGGUGAGCGGCAGACGGGUGAGUAACGCGUGGGAAUCUACCUUUUGCUACGGAAUAGCUCCGGGAAACUGGAAUUAAUACCGUAUGUGCCCUUAGGGGGAAAGAUUUAUCGGCAAGAGAUGAGCCCGCGUUGGAUUAGCUAGUUGGUGGGGUAAAGGCCUACCAAGGCGACGAUCCAUAGCUGGUCUGAGAGGAUGAUCAGCCACAUUGGGACUGAGACACGGCCCAAACUCCUACGGGAGGCAGCAGUGGGGAAUAUUGGACAAUGGGCGCAAGCCUGAUCCAGCCAUGCCGCGUGAGUGAUGAAGGCCUUAGGGUUGUAAAGCUCUUUCACCGGAGAAGAUAAUGACGGUAUCCGGAGAAGAAGCCCCGGCUAACUUCGUGCCAGCCGCCGCGGUAACAC
rnacentral:rRNA from 1 species